GAUGUACGCUGGCGGCGUGCCUAAUACAUGCAAGUCGAGCGAACAGACGAGGAGCUUGCUCCUCUGACGUUAGUGGCGGACGGGUGAGUAACACGUGGAUAACCUACCUAUAAGACUGGGAUAACUUCGGGAAACCGGAGCUAAUACCGGAUAAUAUAUUGAACCGCAUGGUUCAAUAGUGAAAGACGGUUUUGCUGUCACUUAUAGAUGGAUCCGCGCCGCAUUAGCUAGUUGGUAAGGUAACGGCUUACCAAGGCAACGAUGCGUAGCCGACCUGAGAGGGUGAUCGGCCACACUGGAACUGAGACACGGUCCAGACUCCUACGGGAGGCAGCAGUAGGGAAUCUUCCGCAAUGGGCGAAAGCCUGACGGAGCAACGCCGCGUGAGUGAUGAAGGUCUUCGGAUCGUAAAACUCUGUUAUUAGGGAAGAACAAAUGUGUAAGUAACUAUGCACGUCUUGACGGUACCUAAUCAGAAAGCCACGGCUAACUACGUG
rnacentral:rRNA from 1 species